UACGUAGGCAGCAAGCGUUGUUCGGAGUUACUGGGCGUAAAGGGUGUGUAGGCGGUUCUUUAAGUUUGGUGUGAAAUCUCCCGGCUCAACUGGGAGGGUGCGCCGAAUACUGAGGGACUAGAGUACGGGAGAGGAAAGUGGAAUUCCUGGUGUAGCGGUGAAAUGCGUAGAUAUCAGGAGGAACACCGGUGGCGAAGGCGGGUCUCUGGCCCGGUACUGACGCUUAAGAGCGAAAGCGUGGGGAGCAAACAGG
rnacentral:rRNA from 1 species